rnacentral:lncRNA from 1 species
GUUUGAACAGUCUUUGCUAAAAUUGCUUGUUCAGACAUGAAAUGUUAUGAAAAUAGAGCCAGAUUAGAGAUAUUUUCAUGAGGCUGUUUUCAUUCCUUCAUCUUGCUUGUUCACUUGUAGUUAACAUGUUUCCCAAAGAUUCCUACACAAAGACUCUAACAUACACACAAAUUCAGUAAUAGUGGUGGAAAACAUGUCUUUUGUUUGCUGGUUCUGCCCCCUUUUGCGGCUCAGAGGAGUCAGCCCUCAUCAGCUGUGCCAUUGUCACAAGGCAACACACCCUUAACUGGUACACUUGAGUCUCAGGUGAAUCUGUAGAGAGACUGUGCUCCACCUACAUAGACUUUAUACAACGGAUGAAGACUGACACUUCAAACAAAAUUCGCUUUCUUCACAAAGUCCCCCCAUCCCAUGAGACUUACUGCGUUAUGAAAUUACACUCUUUUUUCCUGCUGAUUUACUUGGGGACCUUCUGUGUGGGAUCAGCUGCCUUUAGAAAUACAACAUGUGCAAGAAGAGAUAUGUGCGAUCCGGAGCCGGAUGCAACGUCUCAUUUCCUGCAAUGUGCCGGGCUGCCUCCAACAGACACCGGCAGAGACCACAUGCACCGGCUAAAAAGAAUCCUUGAAGGCACCAUGGACAUUUACACUUUCAUGAAAUCCAGCUUAAAUGGUGUGCCACUACUGUCUCUGGAAGGAGAACUGGAGUUAAACGGGAGAGCAGAUCCACUUCAGAAUGAAGCCUUGGUCCAAAUGUGGCUGGAGAUCAAGAUGAAACCGCUGCUGAAAUCCAUAACUAAGCAUUUUCUUUCCUGCCUCAGUACCAAGAAUUUCAGCUGCUCCACUUACCAGACUGUGAUAAAAGAGCUCAGUCAACAUUACUCAGAAAUUAAUCCAGCUCAGCAAAAAUGGAUCUACACAUUCUUCAUGUAUCCAUUCUUGUCAGGAGACGGAAUUUAUGGUUGUGCGGACUCAGAAGUAAGCAGUGAGGAGUGGCUGAUGAAGAAUUUUGGUGCUUUCAGAGCAAUGGCCAGAAUGAAGGACUUCUCUGCUCUAAACAUGGUCUUCAGUGGAGUGGAAGUGCUUCACCUGCUGUCUCCUGCACAAAAAGCAGAGCUGCUCAUGAGGCCUGAAGUGGAAAGCUUUGAAAACGGCACCCUAUCCCUGAUCUUCCACAGUUUGUUAACAGGAGGCUCUGAAUCCACACCCACUGCUCGCCCCGGAGGCGACCAGAGCUGGACAACACCUGCAGAAUCAUCUACAUUACCUUCCCAUCCAACACAGCCUGCACAUCAGUCUCACCACCUGUCUCCACGUGAAAAGCUCAGAAAGGUGCUGUUUUUCUGUUUUUGUAGAAAAUGAAUAAAGCCACAAAAUAACAAAGUUUUACAUUAAGAAAAUCUAAUCAAAAAUCAAUGAUCAACAAAUAACGUUACAGAUUGUUUUGUUAAUAACUUACAACUGAGCAUAAAUGCAGAUAAAGUAAAUGGGAUCCAUUUAUUGACUCU